rnacentral:rRNA from 1 species
CACUCCUACGGGAGGCAGCAGUGGGGAAUAUUGCACAAUGGGCGCAAGCCUGAUGCAGCCAUGCCGCGUGUAUGAAGAAGGCCUUCGGGUUGUAAAGUACUUUCAGCGGGGAGGAAGGCAAUACGGUUAAUAACCGUGUUGAUUGACGUUACCCGCAGAAGAAGCACCGGCUAACUCCGUGCCAGCAGCCGCGGUAAUACGGAGGGUGCAAGCGUUAAUCGGAAUUACUGGGCGUAAAGCGCACGCAGGCGGUCUGUCAAGUCGGAUGUGAAAUCCCCGGGCUCAACCUGGGAACUGCAUUCGAAACUGGCAGGCUUGAGUCUUGUAGAGGGGGGUAGAAUUCCAGGUGUAGCGGUGAAAUGCGUAGAGAUCUGGAGGAAUACCGGUGGCGAAGGCGGCCCCCUGGACAAAGACUGACGCUCAGGUGCGAAAGCGUGGGGAGCAAACAGGAUUAGAAACCCCAGUAGUCCCAUGAU